rnacentral:rRNA from 1 species
GAUGAACGCUGGCGGCGUGCCUAAUACAUGCAAGUCGAGCGAACAGACGAGGAGCUUGCUCCUCUGACGUUAGCGGCGGACGGGUGAGUAACACGUGGAUAACCUACCUAUAAGACUGGGAUAACUUCGGGAAACCGGAGCUAAUACCGGAUAAUAUAUUGAACCGCAUGGUUCAAUAGUGAAAGACGGUUUUGCUGUCACUUAUAGAUGGAUCCGCGCCGCAUUAGCUAGUUGGUAAGGUAACGGCUUACCAAGGCAACGAUGCGUAGCCGACCUGAGAGGGUGGUCGACCACACUGGAACUGAGACACGGUCCAGACUCCUACGGGAGGCAGCAGUAGGGAAUCUUCCGCAAUGGGCGAAAGCUUGACGGAGCAACGCCGCGUGAGUGAUGAAGGUCUUCGGAUCGUAAAACUCUGUUAUUAGGGAAGAACAAAUGUGUAAGUAACUAUGCACGUCUUGACGGUACCUAAUCAGAAAGCCACGGCUAACUACGUG